AGAACUGUGGCUGGCUGCGAGUGCGGACCAGCGUGUCAGCAUCUGGGCCUCUGACUGGCUCCGGGACCGCUGUGAGCUCCUGGAAUGGUUGAGCUUUCCUGCUCCUGCCGUCUCAAAGGUCAGAGUCCCACGGGCAGUGGGUGGGAAUUGGAGUCUGCCCAACUCACACUGCUUUUCACAGGCUCCAGGCCUCCUGCCCCCCUCUCUUGCUGCCUUCUGCCCUUGGGAUAGGGCGAUACUGGUGUGUGUGGGCCUUGGUGCACAUGAAGAGGUCGUCUUCUACAACCUCCGCCAAAAGCAGGUGGUACAGAAGACACCUCUGCCCUUCUUUGCCAUGUCUUUGAGCCUGUCUCCAGGGGCUCAGCUCAUGGCGGUUGGUUUUGCUG
rnacentral:lncRNA from 1 species